rnacentral:rRNA from 1 species
AGAGUUUGAUCAUGGCUCAGGACGAACGCUGGCGGCGUGCCUAAUACAUGCAAGUCGAGCGGACAGAUGGGAGCUUGCUCCCUGAUGUUAGCGGCGGACGGGUGAGUAACACGUGGGUAACCUGCCUGUAAGACUGGGAUAACUCCGGGAAACCGGGGCUAAUACCGGAUGGUUGUUUGAACCGCAUGGUUCAAACAUAAAAGGUGGCUUCGGCUACCACUUACAGAUGGACCCGCGGCGCAUUAGCUAGUUGGUGAGGUAACGGCUCACCAAGGCAACGAUGCGUAGCCGACCUGAGAGGGUGAUCGGCCACACUGGGACUGAGACACGGCCCAGACUCCUACGGGAGGCAGCAGUAGGGAAUCUUCCGCAAUGGACGAAAGUCUGACGGAGCAACGCCGCGUGAGUGAUGAAGGUUUUCGGAUCGUAAAGCUCUGUUGUUAGGGAAGAACAAGUACCGUUCGAAUAGGGCGGUACCUUGACGGUACCUAACCAGAAAGCCACGGCUAACUACGUGCCAGCAGCCGCGGUAAUACGUAGGUGGCAAGCGUUGUCCGGAAUUAUUGGGCGUAAAGGGCUCGCAGGCGGUUUCUUAAGUCUGAUGUGAAAGCCCCCGGCUCAACCGGGGAGGGUCAUUGGAAACUGGGGAACUUGAGUGCAGAAGAGGAGAGUGGAAUUCCACGUGUAGCGGUGAAAUGCGUAGAGAUGUGGAGGAACACCAGUGGCGAAGGCGACUCUCUGGUCUGUAACUGACGCUGAGGAGCGAAAGCGUGGGGAGCGAACAGGAUUAGAUACCCUGGUAGUCCACGCCGUAAACGAUGAGUGCUAAGUGUUAGGGGGUUUCCGCCCCUUAGUGCUGCAGCUAACGCAUAAGCACUCC